UUUUGGACAAUGGGGGAAACCCUGAUCCAGCCAUCCCGCGUGUAUGAUGAAGGCCUUCNGGUUGUNANGUACUUUUGGCAGAGAANCAAAGGUAUCUCCUAAUACGAGAUACUGCUGACGGUAUCUGCAGAAUAAGCACCGGCUAACGACGUUCCAGCAGCCGCGGUAAUACGUAGGGUGCAAGCGUUAAUCGGCAUUACUGGGCGUAAAGUGUGUGUAGGCGGUUCGGAAAGAAAGAUGUUAAAACCCAGGGCUCAACCUUGGAACUGCAUUUUUAACUGCCGAGCUAGAGUAUGUCAGAGGGGGGUAGAAUUCCACGUGUAGCAGUGAAAUGCGUAGAUAUGUGGAGGAAUACCGAUGGCGAAGGCAGCCCCCUGGGAUAAUACUGACGCUCAGACACGAAAGCGUGGGGAGCAAACAGG
rnacentral:rRNA from 1 species